rnacentral:lncRNA from 1 species
GUGGCGCACAAUCCUUUAAAGUUAGUUAGUUAAAUUGGAUUUAUGGGCGCAAAAGCGGCUACGGCUAUGCUGCGCCAGACACAGGGUGAUAAAAU